GUGUCGGUGGUGCAACGGUUAGCACAUGCUCCCGGAAACAGUAAAAUCUGGGUUCGAAUCUUGGCUGACGCA